rnacentral:rRNA from 1 species
UACAGGGGGUGCUAGCGUUGUUCGGAAUUACUGGGCGUAAAGGGCGCGUAGGCGGCCAUGUAAGUCAGGAGUGAAAUCCCGGAGCUUAACUUCGGAAUUGCUUUUGAAACUACAUGGCUAGAGUGAGUUAGAGGAUGGCGGAAUUCCUAGUGUAGUGGUGAAAUACGUAGAUAUUAGGAAGAACACCGGUGGCGAAGGCGGCCAUCUGGGACUCAACUGACGCUGAGGCGCGAAAGCGUGGGGAGCGAACAGG